rnacentral:tRNA from 1 species
GUGGGUGUAGUUCAGCGGUAGAGCACCGGAUUGUGGUUCCGGCUGUCGCGGGUUCAAAUCCCGUCAUCCACCCCA